UACGUAGGGUGCGAGCGUUAAUCGGAAUUACUGGGCGUAAAGCGUGCGCAGGCGGUUUUGGUAAGCCAGAUGUGAAAUCCCCGGGCUUAACCUGGGAAUGGCAUUUGGGACUGCAAGGCUUGAGUGCGGCAGAGGAGACUGGAAUUCCUGGUGUAGCAGUGAAAUGCGUAGAUAUCAGAGGAACACCGAUGGCGAAGGCAGGUCUCUGGGCUGACAC
rnacentral:rRNA from 1 species